AUUGAACGCUGGCGGCAUGCCUUACACAUGCAAGUCGAACGGUAACGGGCCUUCGGGUGCCGACGAGUGGCGAACGGGUGAGUAAUACAUCGGAACGUGCCCGAUCGUGGGGGAUAACGAGGCGAAAGCUUUGCCAAUACCGCAUACGAUCUACGGAUGAAAGCAGGGGACCGCAAGGCCUUGCGCGGACGGAGCGGCCGAUGGCAGAUUAGGUAGUUGGUGGGAUAAAAGCUUACCAAGCCGACGAUCUGUAGCUGGUCUGAGAGGAUGAUCAGCCACACUGGGACUGAGACACGGCCCAGACUCCUACGGGAGGCAGCAGUGGGGAAUUUUGGACAAUGGGCGCAAGCCUGAUCCAGCCAUGCCGCGUGCAGGAUGAAGGCCUUCGGGUUGUAAACUGCUUUUGUACGGAACGAAAAGCCUUCUUUUAAUACAGGAGGGUCAUGACGGUACCGUAAGAAUAAGCACCGGCUAACUACGUG
rnacentral:rRNA from 1 species